GAUGAACGCUGGCGGCGUGCCUAACACAUGCAAGUCGAGCGAUGAAGUUCUCUUCGGAGAACGGAUUAGCGGCGGACGGGUGAGUAACACGUGGGCAACCUGCCUUGUAGAGGGGAAUAGCCUUCCGAAAGGAAGAUUAAUACCGCAUAAUAUUGUUGAGUGGCAUCACUCGAUAAUCAAAGGAGCAAUCCGCUACAAGAUGGGCCCGCGUCGCAUUAGUUAGUUGGUGGGGUAAUGGCCUACCAAGACGACGAUGCGUAGCCGACCUAAGAGGGUGAUCGGCCACAUUGGGACUGAGACACGGCCCAGACUCCUACGGGAGGCAGCAGUGGGGAAUAUUGCACAAUGGAGGAAACUCUGAUGCAGCAACGCCGCGUGAGCGAUGAAGGUCUUCGGAUCGUAAAGCUCUGUCUUCGGGGAUGAUAAUGACAGUACCCGAGGAGGAAGCCACGGCUAACUACGUG
rnacentral:rRNA from 1 species